GGGAAAGAAAUUAUUUGCACAAUACUGAAAUUAUGCUCACUAAGGUUAAGAUGCCACUUCCUGAUAUGAUGGCUGCUGUGCUGGCUAUGGAUGAAUCAGUAUUAGAUGUGGAUCAGGUGAAAAAUCUCAUUAAGUUUUGUCCUACCAAAGAAGAGAUGGAACUCUUGAAGGUAAAGAUUAACAAACUUAUCAUACUUAAUUCCUACAUCUUGUUUUGUCAGGGAUACACUGGUGACAAAGAGAAUUUGGAAAAAUGCGAACAGUAUUUUUUAGAGCUGAUGAAGGUGCCACGAGUAGAGUCAAAGUUAAGAGUAUUCUCUUUCAAGAUUCAAUUUCUGUCUCAUGUCCGAAAGUCUGUCAAGCUGAAGAUCAUGAAGAAAAUUCUUUUUUUUGGGUAAUACAUUAAAUCAAGGAACAGCUAGGGGUUCUAGCUGAUAGGUCGCCUGGACUGCUUGACUUCCACUUAGACCUUGUAAGCCUGGAAGCUACGACUAAGGAGAGUUCAACUUUUCAAAUGUGAAGAGAAUAGGGAAACUUUGUGGCAACAGUUCUAAUUUUCGCGUUGUGGGAGGUAGGGGAUUUUUGUCUAGGUGCCAGGGUGAUGAUGAUUCUUUAGCAUAUAUUAAUGGCAAUGGCCGGAAUAUUGAUAAUGCUGGAGGGGGUCCGAAUAAGGUGGCUUCUGAUUUGGGUUCCAUUUCAGGAGCUGCAUCGAGUGAACCCUUGGAAGUCGAAAGAACAAUUGGGGGUGAAAUAAAGCAAGAGGUACAGACAGUGGAUGAAUUGAAAGAACUGUUGCAAAAGGCCUUGAAGGAACUCGAAGUUGCUAGGCAUAAUAGUGCCAUGUAUGAGGAGAGGGUCAAGAAG